UGGCGGACGGGUGAGUAACGCGUGGGUAACCUGCCUCACACUGGGGGACAACAGUUAGAAAUGACUGCUAAUACCGCAUAAGCGCACAGGACCGCAUGGUCCGGUGUGAAAAACUCCGGUGGUGUGAGAUGGACCCGCGUUUGAUUAGCUAGUUGGUGGGGUAACGGCCUACCAAGGCGACGAUCAAUAGCCGACCUGAGAGGGUGACCGGCCACAUUGGGACUGAGACACGGCCCAG
rnacentral:rRNA from 1 species